GACGAACCGUGCGAACGUUGUUCGGAAUCACUGGGCUUAAAGGGCGCGUAGGCGGUCUGUCAAGUCUGGGGUGAAAUGCCGCGGCUCAACCGUGGAACUGCCUUAGAUACUGACGGCCUCGAGGAAGGUAGGGGCAUGCGGAACUGUAGGUGGAGCGGUGAAAUGCGUUGAUAUCUACAGGAACUCCGGUGGCGAAAGCGGCGUGCUGGACCUUUUCUGACGCUGAGGCGCGAAAGCUAGGGGAGCAAACGGG
rnacentral:rRNA from 1 species